UUCGAAAUCGCCUUCUGGCUUAAGAUUAUCUUGUGGACGUACUUGUUUCGGACGCUCGGCCGGUCUGUACUGGGGCUUCUCAGGCGUUGCGAAAUCUCCUUCUGGACGAAGGUUAUCCUCGGGUCUGAUCUGCUUCGGACGCUCGGCCGGUCUAUACUGAGGCUUCUCAGGCUUUUGGAAGUCUCCUUCAGGUCUGAGAUUGUCCUCGGGCUUGAUCUGCUUCGGACGCUCGGCUGGUUGGAAAGGAGAUUUCUCAGGACGCUCGAAGUCUCCUUCUGGACGAAGGUUAUCAUCGGGACGAAUAGGCCUUGGUCGCUCACCAGAAAUGUAUACCGUUUUCUCCGUGCGUUCAAAGUUGCCUUCCAUGUAAAGAUUAUCUUCAUGGCGAACGAUUUGAGCUCUCUCGGCU